rnacentral:lncRNA from 1 species
CGGCGUCAGAAUGGAGGAUAUGGCUCACUCUUGGGGUUCUGUAGCCAGCUCCAGUUGUUCAUUCUCAGCUUUCUGAUUGUAGCUGAAAUAUGACCCCACCCGCUUCACACUCUUGCUUUCGUGGAGAAGUCCACCACUAGGCUUCCCUACCAUGACAAAACCACAUCCUGAACUCGCCUCUGGUGGACAGGUUUGGUUAUGCUCACUUUAGUAGCAGCCACUCAGAACAAACUGGUUGAGACAAGAUGAAAUAUGAAUACAGUUAUGCAUGCUCCAGUAUGAUCUUUCUCAUGGAGGUGAAAAGAAUAAGGCAUAUUGUACAGUCUCUUUGUAAACUGUGAAGUACUGUCAGGGUGCUGGAAUCUCUCAUUUCUGCAGAGAGAUGACUAUAUCCAUCGGGAAGGAUUUCCCACUAGGAGCAGAAGACCCGAGAUUAGUGUAGGUGAUACAAGUUAGAGGUUUUCCAAUUUCUGGGAGUUGUCAUGGUGUUGGUCCAUCAUGCCUGCAGUCCCAGGCAAGAAGACAGAGAAAGUGUUGGGGGUGUUUGGUCAUGCUGAAGGAUCUGAGUCUAUCAUGGCUGCAAAGAGUCGUGGCUGUAGGAGCUGGAACCUGACUCACACCUUCACAUGAAAGAAUGAAACAGAGAGCAAACAGGAAGCAAGUCGCAGAAGACUCACCUAGUCAACAGCAAGCAGGAGGGAGACAUAAUGCAUCCCAGUAAGACCAAGUCUGCAGUAAAAUGCUAACGCUUCAUUGGAUAACAACUUGUCACGUGGCCAGGUGCAGUUACAAAGGAAGCUGGGAAAUGAAGUCUAUAGAAGAAGUCAUCAUCGUAAGAAAGAAAAAGCCAUUGUGUCUGCCCCAGGAAGUCCUCAGUCGAAUCUCGUUUGUAAUAUUCACCAGCUCUAGGACUCAGGAAAAUCAGUUCUUUGAACUUCAGUUUUUCUCAUCUUAAAAUAAGAUUAUAUUCAUCCUAUGUAACUAUUGUAAUAUCAUAACUUUAUAACAUCUAAAACAAAGAACGAACUGUGUGCAUUUGUUUGUUUCCUGGGACAACAUCUCCUGCUGUAGCCCAGGCUAUCUCACUGAUUAGUUCAGGCUGGCCUGAGAUGUAAGGCAAUCCUUCUUAGCUUCUCAGGUACUGUGAUUACAGAAGGGAGGCACCAUGCCCAACUUCCAGCGUUUGAAAACGGUCCUCUAAGUUUUCAUACUUAUGUGUGAUUGAUUUUGAGUUAGUUUUUGUUUUUGUAGCAUUGUGGACACUGAGGACUUUAUUGCUUCUUGACUAAUUAAAAGCACAGCCACUAUAAUCUGCAGG